AUUGAACGCUGGCGGCAUGCUUUACACAUGCAAGUCGAACGGUAACAGGUUAAGCUGACGAGUGGCGAACGGGUGAGUAAUGCAUCGGAACGUGCCCGAUCGUGGGGGAUAACGCAGCGAAAGCUGCGCUAAUACCGCAUACGAUCUGAGGAUGAAAGCGGGGGACCGUAAGGCCUCGCGCGAUCGGAGCGGCCGAUGUCAGAUUAGGUAGUUGGUGGGGUAAAGGCCCACCAAGCCGACGAUCUGUAGCUGGUCUGAGAGGACGACCGGCCACACUGGGACUGAGACACGGCCCAGACUCCUACGGGAGGCAGCAGUGGGGAAUUUUGGACAAUGGGCGAAAGCCUGAUCCAGCAAUGCCGCGUGCAGGAAGAAGGCCUUCGGGUUGUAAACUGCUUUUGUACGGAGCGAAAAGAUCCUUUCUAAUACAAGGGGCUCAUGACGGUACCGUAAGAAUAAGCACCGGCUAACUACGUGCCAGCAGCCGCCGCAG
rnacentral:rRNA from 1 species